rnacentral:rRNA from 1 species
UACAGAGGGUGCGAGCGUUAAUCGGAAUUACUGGGCGUAAAGCGUGCGUAGACGGUUAUUUAAGUCGGAUGUGAAAUCCCCGGGCUCAACCUGGGAAUUGCAUUCGAGACUGAAUAGCUAGGGUGCGGUAGAGGGAAGCGGAAUUUCCGGUGUAGCGGUGAAAUGCGUAGAUAUCGGAAGGAACAUCAGUGGCGAAAGCGGCUUCCUGGACCAGCACCGACGUUCAGGCACGAAAGCGUGGGGAGCAAACAGG